rnacentral:rRNA from 1 species
GGGAUCAUUACACAAAUAUGAAGGCGGGCUGGAAUCUCUCGGGGUUACAGCCUUGCUGAAUUAUUCACCCUUGUCUUUUGCGUACUUCUUGUUUCCUUGGUGGGUUCGCCCACCACUAGGACAAACAUAAACCUUUUGUAAUUGCAAUCAGCGUCAGUAACAAAUUAAUAAUUACAACUUUCAACAACGGAUCUCUUGGUUCUGGCAUCGAUGAAGAACGCAGCGAAAUGCGAUAAGUAGUGUGAAUUGCAGAAUUCAGUGAAUCAUCGAAUCUUUGAACGCACAUUGCGCCCUUUGGUAUUCCAAAGGGCAUGCCUGUUCGAGCGUCAUUUGUACCCUCAAGCUUUGCUUGGUGUUGGGCGUCUUGUCUCUAGCUUUGCUGGAGACUCGCCUUAAAGUAAUUGGCAGCCGGCCUACUGGUUUCGGAGCGCAGCACAAGUCGCACUCUCUAUCAGCAAAGGUCUAGCAUCCAUUAAGCCUUUUUUCAACUUUUGACCUCGGAUCAGGUAGGGAUACCCGCUGAACUUAAGCAUAUCAAUAAGC